AAUGGUGAGUAGUUGCGGUUCCUUAACAGGAGCUGAGGAAAGUCCAGGCUCGCACAGUGCUGAGAUGCCUGUAGUGUUCGUGCCAUCCGCAAGGGUGGGCAGUUGAUGAAUAGUAUCGACUGACGGCGGUGAAAUCAUGCUAAGUCCCUCGGGAUAUGCUGAGAAUAACCUGAAAGUGCCACAGUGACGGAGCUUUUCUGGAAACGGAAAAGGUGGAACGGGUAAACCCCACGAGCGAGCAACCCAAAUUAGGUAGGGGCAUCAUCCUGCGGGAAAUGAACCUAAUGGAUGAAUCGGCCAUCAGUCGAUAGAUAGAUGACUACUACUUCCAGUACAAGGCUUGCUGCCGUUUGCAGUACGGAAGAACAAAACCUGGCUUACAGCC
rnacentral:RNase_P_RNA from 1 species